CCUACGGGAGGCAGCAGUGAGGAAUAUUGGUCAAUGGACGAGAGUCUGAACCAGCCAAGUAGCGUGAAGGAUGACUGCCCUAUGGGUUGUAAACUUCUUUUAUAUGGGAAUAAAACGUUCCACGUGUGGGAUUUUGUAUGUACCAUAUGAAUAAGGAUCGGCUAACUCCGUGCCAGCAGCCGCGUUAAUACGGAGGAUCCGAGCGUUAUCCGGCUUUAUUGGGUUUAAAGGGAGCGUAGGUGGAUUGUUAAGUCAGUUGUGAAAGUUUGCGGCUCAACCGUAAAAUUGCAGUUGAAACUGGCAGUCUUGAGGACAGUAGAGGUGGGCGGAAUUCGUGGUGUAGCGGUGAAAUGCUUAGAUAUCACGAAGAACUCCGAUUGCGAAGGCAGUUCACUGGACUGCAACUGACACUGAGGCUCGAAAGUGUGGGUAUCAAACAGGAUUAGAUACCCGAGUAGUC
rnacentral:rRNA from 1 species